GCCUACAUGAAGCUGGAGUUGCUAGUAAUCGCGAAUCAGCAUGUCGCGGUGAAUACGUUCCCGGGCCUUGUACACACCGCCCGUCACACCAUGAGAGUUGGCAAUACCCAACGUACGUGAUCUAACCCGCAAGGGAGGAAGCGUCCUAAGGUAGGGUCAGCGAUUGGGGUGAAGUCGUAACAAGGUAGC
rnacentral:rRNA from 1 species